rnacentral:rRNA from 1 species
AUGGGUGGUCUAAAUUGCCUUCGCAUCCUAGAGCUGCGUGUGAUGGAGGCGUCAACCCAGGAUGUCAAUCUUCUUGGAGAGCUUCCGUCCCUCGUAGUACUCUGGCUCAUGGCGUUAAAUAUCCCAAAAGAAAGAGUUAGAUUGGGCACGGGACUGUUCCCGGUUCUGAAGAGCCUCACAUUUUCUGCUAUGGAAGGUGUUGGGGCUUACCUAGGGUUCAAGGCGGGGGCCAUGCCCAACCUACGAGACCUCAAAAUCUCCACAUGGGGGGAACGCGCUGUACCAGUUGGCCUGGAGCACCUGUUACGCCUUGAGAAGAUCGUUCUGGAUGGGGCUCGCACCGGUGAUGCCAUAGUGUCUGCGUUCAGGGAUGCUUUAUCAGCACACCCAAAUCACCCUUUCGUUCGCACCGCAUUUUAG